rnacentral:tRNA from 1 species
AGAUAAUGAAGUAAAAAUUACAUUUAAUUUCGACUUAAAGCUAGGAUAAAAUUAUCCCUUAUCUA